AUGGCGAUUUUUGGCUGUUUUUAUAGCGAUUUUUGGCUGUUUUUAUCUGCAGCGCACCAGUCCCUGCAUGGGCCACGCCCACUCCGCCAUGGCCACGCCUCUUUGUCCACGCCCAUCAAUCGUGGUCAUGCCCCUGGGGAAUCCCUCCGCGGCCCCCGCCGUGACGUUGCGCGGUUGCGUCACUUCCGGCGGGCCACCCAGAAGUGGUGUGGGCCCGGUAGCCAUGGGGCGGCCCGGGAGGUGAAAUGGGAAGAGAGAGGGGGGGAGACACCAGGAUGGGGACCGGGAAUGGGAUCGGGGCCGGGAAUGGGAUCGCCGGGCAGCCGCGGGGUCUGGGGGGAGCCGGGCCGGGCCCUGCGGGAUGGUGGCGGCCGUGGGGACGGCCGGGGGGCCUGGAACUCGUGUCCCUGCCCCGUCUUUGCCUCAUUUCGAUCUCUCAUCCCGGUCCCUCGUCUCGAUCCCUCAUCCUGUUCAUUCAUCCUGAUCCCGUUGUUCCCGGUCCCUCUAUCGCGAUCCCUGAUCUCGUUGUUCCCGGUUCCGCCCUGGCACCGGCUCCGCUCCCUCGGGCUCCUCCGGCGGGAUCUUCCCUCCGGCCGGGCCGGGAAGGAGGGACAGCUCCGGGCUGUGUCCCUGAGGCGGAAUUCCAGCUUUUCCUUAUUUCUUUUGGGAUUUUGCUGGCGUUUGAUCGUGGCAGGGGUCCCAGAAUCCCGGGAUGCUUUGGGUGGGAAGGAGCUUAAAUCCCAUCCGCUUCCAACUCCAGCGCCUCCCCUGUCCCGGGCUGCUCCAGCCCGGCCUCGGGCACUUUCAGAGAUCCGGGAGCGGCCACGACUUCCCUGGGAAUUCCCCCCAGCCCCUCUCCACCCUGCACGAGGUGAUUCCGUGCUUCCACCGCCUCGCUAUUCCUGUUUUCCCUUGUAUUCCGGCACGCCCGGGGAGCCUAGGAGCAGCCCCUCACCUCGGUCAGGUGCUGAGGGAAGGGAAGGAUCCCAUCCCGGCUGUUCCCCUGGGGAUCUCCCACUGCAGGGAAUC
rnacentral:lncRNA from 1 species